rnacentral:lncRNA from 1 species
CUCCUGUGCACGGCUGCCGGCGAUGAGUAUCGCCGAUCUUUCGGUCGGGAAAGACGCCCUGUUUUUGGGCCUUUUUCCUUGGAUUUUCCGACACCGACGAUCGGAAGUGAUCGCCGGCCAUGUCUCCUCCAUGACCGGGGGAGUGGCCCCCGUCGGCCGUCGGCCUCCACCGCGGCGGCCGUGGCCCGAACGGCUGGUCAAGGCCGGAGGACUAUCGUCCUCUGUUCCGGCACGGGAAGAACCAAGAAAAGAAGAAAA